AUGGACUGGACCUGGAGGAUCAUCUUGGUGGCAGCAGCCACAGGGGCCCACUCUCAGGCCCAGUUGGUGCAGUCUGGGGAUGAGGUGAAGAAGCCUCUGUCCUCAGUGAAGAUCUCCUUCAAGGCUUCUGGAUACACCUUCACCAACAACUUUAUGCACUGGGUGUGACAGGUCCCUGGACAAGGACUUGAGUGGAUGGGAUGGAUCAACACUGGCAAUGGUAACACAAAAUAUGCACAGAAGUUCCAGGGCAGAGUCACCAUAACCAGGGACACGUCCAUGAGCACAGCCUACAUGGAGUUGAGCAGCCUGAGAUCUGAGGACACGGCCGUGUAUUACUGUGCAAGAGACACAGUGGGAACAUCCUCAAAGUGUCAGAAACCCCAGGAAGGAGGCAACUGCGCGGGCAUGGAGGAGAUGACAAAGAUUAUUAGAUUAAAACUUUCUUAG